UACGUAGGUGGCAAGCGUUGUCCGGAUUUACUGGGCGUAAAGAGCGCGCAGGCGGUCGUUCAAGUCGCGUGUGAAAGCCCCCGGCUCAACUGGGGAGGGUCACGCGAUACUGAUCGACUCGAAGGCAGGAGAGGGAAGUGGAAUUCCCGGUGUAGUGGUGAAAUGCGUAGAUAUCGGGGAGGAACACCAGUGGCGAAGGCGGCUUCCUGGCCUGUAACUGACGCUGAGACGCGAAAGCGUGGGGAGCGAACCGG
rnacentral:rRNA from 1 species